rnacentral:siRNA from 1 species
AUGGAGGUAUUAACGACGGAAUAC